rnacentral:rRNA from 1 species
GUGCCAGCAGCCGCGGUAAUACGUAGGUGGCAAGCGUUAUCCGGAAUUAUUGGGCGUAAAGCGCGCGUAGGCGGUUUUUUAAGUCUGAUGUGAAAGCCCACGGCUCAACCGUGGAGGGUCAUUGGAAACUGGAAAACUUGAGUGCAGAAGAGGAAAGUGGAAUUCCAUGUGUAGCGGUGAAAUGCGCAGAGAUAUGGAGGAACACCAGUGGCGAAGGCGACUUUCUGGUCUGUAACUGACGCUGAUGUGCGAAAGCGUGGGGAUCAAACAGGAUUA